AGCGAACGCUGGCGGCGUGCCUAACACAUGCAAGUCGAACGUGAAAAGGGAAACCUGAGUAAAGUGGCGUACGGGUGAGUAACGCGUAGGUAAUCUACCCCAGAAUCUGGAAUAACCUGCCGAAAGGCGGGCUAAUACUGGAUAGAGCGAGGGAACUCGUAAGAGAGUUUUUCGGGAAAGGGAGCCCGCAAGGGCCUUCGUUCUGGGAUGAGCCUGCGUCUCAUUAGCUAGUUGGUAAGGUAACGGCUUACCAAGGCGAUGAUGAGUAGCUGGUCUGAGAGGAUGAUCAGCCACACUGGAACUGAAACACGGUCCAGACUCCUACGGGAGGCAGCAGUGGGGAAUCUUGCGCAAUGGACGAAAGUCUGACGCAGCCACGCCGCGUGAGUGAAGAAGGCCCUCGGGUUGUAAAGCUCUGUCGGAUGGGACGAACAUCUUCAUAGUGAAUAGCUAUGAGGACUGACGGUACCAUCAAAGGAAGCACCGGCUAACUCCGUG
rnacentral:rRNA from 1 species